AACCUACGGGGCGCAGCAGUGGGGAAUAUUGGGCAAUGGGCGCAAGCCUGACCCAGCGACGCCGCGUGAGGGAAGACGGUCUUCGGAUUGUAAACCUCUUUCAGCAGGGAAGACAAAAGGACGGUACCUGCAGAAGAAGCCACGGCUAACUACGUGCCAGCAGCCGCGGUAAUACGUAGGUGGCAAGCGUUAUCCGGAAUUACUGGGUGUAAAGGGUGUGUAGGCGGGUUUGCAAGUCAGAUGUGGAAAUUAUGGGCUUAACCCAUAACCUGCCUCUUAAACUACA
rnacentral:rRNA from 1 species